CAUUGAUACUCAUUUAAAAAUGGAUAAAUGGAGUAAAGCAUCAAGCUACAGGGAGGUGGUCUAAAAGAUUCCCUUACUCUCUAAAAUCUCAGUUCUGGCAACCUGCUUCCGUAUCUGAGAUGAUCACAUUUUAACUUUUUAAAAAAUUUUAUUGCAGUGAAGUUACUGGAAGAGGAACAGGGUAUGCUGGAAGGACUCCUUCAUAGGAAGCCAAAGACCCUGGCUGUUUCCCAAGAGUACUGGGUGAGACUGUGAAGGAGGUGGGCUUAUUUGAGUGGAUGGAGAGAUAGCUUGUUUCUGCUCGGGCAGAGCUCCACAGACCAGCUGGCAGAUCAAUCAGUGAUACUACAGCCUUGAAAGAAAAUUCAAGAAUACAGAAAACAGACAUCGUAAGAAGCAAGGUUACUCCUUUCAUCAGUAACUGAAAGGAAUGAAAAAUGAUUGUAUGGAUUCACGUUACUUGGCUUCAGGUACCCUAUUUGUAAAGAAACAGGUUUAUUAUGUCUGGCAUGUUCAGAAAACCCAGGAAAGACUUCCCAGCAACCUGCAGGGUUUACGAUGCAUUAUGUUACCACAGCAUUCUUCCAAAACUCUCCUUCUGGAAUUGAUUUGUCUAGAGACCGACUGGCUUCUUUAAAAUCAAAAGUAAGCUGUCAACACAUCAUAAUGGCAUUUUUUUGGAGGGAAGAUUGGUGGUGUAAAUGGCCUGAAGAUGCAGGG
rnacentral:lncRNA from 1 species